rnacentral:rRNA from 1 species
CCUACGGGCGGCAGCAGUAGGGAAUCUUCCACAAUGGGCGAAAGCCUGAUGGAGCAACGCCGCGUGGGUGAAGAAGGUCUUCGGAUCGUAAAACCCUGUUGUUAGAGAAGAAAGUGCGUGAGAGUAACUGUUCACGUUUCGACGGUAUCUAACCAGAAAGCCACGGCUAACUACGUGCCAGCAGCCGCGGUAAUACGUAGGUGGCAAGCGUUACCCGGAUUUAUUUGGCGUAAAGGGAACGCAGGCGGUCUUUUAAGUAUGAUGUGAAAGCCUUCGGCUUAACCGGAGUAGUGCAUUGGAAACUGGGAGACUUGAGUGCAGAAGAGGAGAGUGGAACUCCAUGUGUAGCGGUGAAAUGCGUAGAUAUAUGGAAGAACACCAGUGGCGAAAGCGGCUCUCUGGUCUGUAACUGACGCUGAGGUUCGAAAGCGUGGGUAGCAAACAGGAUUAGAUACCCGGGUAGUC